UCCCAAGCUUCCCGAAGAGGACGCUUCCCAGACCAGUGAUCAAGGUGCUCACAGAAAUCAUCGCCAGGGCUGUGGACUGAAUGGUGACGAGAGGCUGG
rnacentral:ribozyme from 8 species